UUAUUGGUGAUACAGGCCACCAAAUGUGAAAGCACAUCAGCUUCGGCUGGUGCGGUCUCGGACGAGGCUCUGCCCUAUCAGCUUUGAUGGUGCGGGUCUUGGCCCACCAUGGCUGCUACGGGUAACGGAGAAUGAGGGUUUGACUCCGGAGAGGGAGCCUGAGUCACAGCUACCAGAAUUAAGAUUUGCAGCAGGCGCGCAAAUUGCCCAAUGCCAACAUUGGCGAGGCAGCGACGAAAAAUAGCAACUGUGCAUGCAAUUGUGUGUGCAGAUUGCAAUGGAUGACAGCUAAACCUAUCAAUGAGUAUCGAUUAGAGGACAAGUCUGGUGCCAGCACCCGCGGUAAUUCCAGCUCUAAUAGCAUACACUAAUGCUGUUGCUGUUAAAGCGCUCGUAGUUGGAUUCUGAGUUGAAGGGCGCCAAGUGGCCCACCACUAUUGGUCUGCCAAGGAUGCUUGCGUCCUGGGUGCCUUUGGUGUGUGCGGAUCCAACCCUUGGCUUGAACCUUCACUCAAAGCAGACGGAUUUGUGGCUUUGCGGAAGGCUCCUUAAUUGGAGCUGGAAACACCUAUGCAUACAACAUGUGCACGGCCUAUCCGUUGCCUGUCACUCUGAACAAAACAGCGUGUCCAAAGCAACUGCCUUGUACGGCUGAAUGCUCUAGCAUGGAAUGACAAGGUGCCGACCUGCAAUGUCGGUGUUUUGUUGGUUUUACCGGUCUUGUGUGGACAGCCCAGGGCAGGUCAUUCACUUGAGGUUCUCGGGUUCCGACGCUUCGGCAUCGGGCCCCCCCUCCUGUUGGAGCUUGUCCCUUUCGGUGAUAAUGGGGACCUUCGGGGAGGUAAGUACUACAGUGCUAGCGGUGAAAUGCUCAGACCACUGUAAGACUAACCAACGCGAAGGCAUUCCUCCAGAAUGUUUUCAUCAAAAAAGAACGAGAGUGUGGGGAUCGAAAAUGAUCAGAUACCAUUGUAGUCCGCACUGUAAACUAUGCUAGCUCGAGAUUGGGAGUGCGUUCACUUUUACGACCCUCCCAGUUUCUUCCCUGCGAUCGAGAAAUCAAAGCCUAUGGGCCCAGGGGGGAGUAUGGUCGCAAGGCUGAAACUUAAAGGAAUUGGCGGAAUGACACAACAAGGCGUGGAGGUUGCGGCUUAAUUUGACUCAACACGCGGAAUCUUACCAGGUCAGGACUCAGUCAGGAUUGACAGACUGAGAGCUCUUUCAUAAUUCUCAGAGUGGUAGUGCAUGGCCGUUUCCAGUUCGUGAUGUGAAUUGUCUACUUAAUUGUGCUAACGAACGAGAUCUCUGCCUUGAAAUACGUGCUGGUCUCGAAAAUAGGUAGGGGGCACUCAGGCGAAAGCCUGCCCCCGAGAGGCCAAGUACACUUCUUAGAGGGACUGUGUGCGUUCACCAGUACACGGAAGAAGGAGCCCAUAGCAGGUCUGUGAUGCUCUUAGAUGUCCUGGGCUGCACGCGUCCUACACUGGUGCAACGAGCACGUUGUAUCUUCCUUUGGGGACUCCUGCUCAGAGCUGAGUG
rnacentral:rRNA from 1 species